rnacentral:rRNA from 1 species
GACAGAGGUGCCGAGCGUUAGGCGGAAUCACUGGGCUUAAAGCGUGUGUAGGCGGGUGCCUAAGUACCUUGUGAAAUCCCACGGCUCAACCGUGGAACUGCUUGGUAUACUGGGUAUCUUGAGCCACUUAGGGGCAACCGGAACAAACGGUGGAGCGGUGAAAUGCGUAGAUAUCGGGAGGAACACCAGUGGCGAAGGCGGCCCGCUGGGCAGUGGCUGACGCUGAGGCGCGACAGCGUGGGGAGCAAACAGG